rnacentral:rRNA from 1 species
CGCGUAGGCGGUCUUGUAGGUCAGAUGUGAAAGCUCCCGGCUUAACCGGGAAAGUGCAUUUGAAACCAUGAGACUUGAGUAUGGGAGAGGGAAGUGGAAUUCCUGGUGUAGAGGUGAAAUUCGUAGAUAUCAGGAGGAACACCGGUGGCGAAGGCGACUUCCUGGACCAAUACUGACGCUGAGGCGCGAAGGCGGUGGGGAGCAAACA